GGGAAAAAAAAGAAGAAAAAACUCCUUUAUAAUUAUCACAAGUGCUUAGAAUUACAGUGUGAGUUCUUAUUCAAAAGAAAACAUGAAUAAUGGGACAGCUCCGUAUUGAGCUGGAGAAAUGAUUUUGUCUGACUGAGUAAACUCCUACCUCAAAAUCUCUUUGCAAUUCAAAAGCAACUUGAUUAAUAGGGCAGACAUUCAUAAUUUUACACUUAUAUGACUAGAUCUAAAACAAUUACUUUCAUCAACUGCCUAAAAAUUACAGUGCUAAAACAAUUGUUUAAAACUUGCAUGCACUGGUUUUAUUCAAGCUUGUUCUAGUACAAAUAUGUGUUUUUAAUUUCAUAAAGGAUAGAAAAGAAUGGCAAAAAAAGAUUCUAAAGAUCUGAAAAGCAACUGUUUAGCUAAAGAGGUAUUUAAAGCUCAUUUAGUUAAUAUUCUGAGUCAUCACAGCUGUCAUAGAGAUAGAAAGAUGCUGAACCCCAUGAGCACAUUGAAAGCUACCACCUUCAUUGUCAAGUGUCUUGGCACAGACAAUGCCUUCAGAAUGCAGUUGCUGCUCUGAAUGUUCAAGCCACAAUACAGGCAAUUGGCAAUUCUCUUUUUUUCAGAAGCUAGUAAGGACAACACAUUCUUAUCUCACUAAUACUUUGUUGAUUAGCACAUGUUUGUAAGACCCAAGCAACCAUUGUCUUUCAUCCAAUAAAAAGAGUUUCAUAGCCAAUCUCUUAUUUUAUACAACAAUGAAUUAACGAGCAUGUUAUUUUGAAGUGAAAGAAACUGUUAUCAAUUAGUCAGAGUUUUCUUCCAAAUGUAUUAAAUUCUAGAUAUGCCAGGUUUUCAGCAUUCAAAACAUCCAGUUUUCUGAUUAUUUAUUCAAUACCCAGACAGGUGAUACUUAAAUCUCUGCUGGCAUCAUUUAAGAUGCCUUAGUGACAGGAGUAAAGGUAAGGAAAGGUCCACAUGACUGAAAUAUAGGCUCAAUUCUGGUUCCUUUAAAAAUGAUAUUCAAGCUUCCACAGAUGGCACUAAAUUUUAGAUAAGACCGCAUGACAUGAAAUCUAAAUGGUAUGAAGGUCAAAGUAAUUUAUCACUGUGGGUAUUUAUCACCAAACACAACAGAGCAAUAGAGAUAUGUAGAAUAAAAAUCUAACUUACUAUUCAUGACUUGUAUCUAGUCUAGGAUUAUAGCCAACCUUUGGAUCAAAGAAAGAAUUUUAAGGUUGAUCUUAAAGCCAAUAAGAGAAGACGUUACUGACUGUAUAUGUCAUUUGGAAUCAGAUGCUUAACUAGCAAUGUGAUGAUCUUUUCAUUUUUAUUUUUUAAUUUUAUUAUUAUUUUUUUUUCCUUGAAGUCCUACAGAAGGCUUGCAAUUAGAACUCCUAUUAGGAAAAAAAAAGAGACUUGGCACCUCAUCUGUACAAUACAGUUUACUUUCACAAUAUAAUUUCAAAGGCAAUCCACAAUAGAUACAACAAGGAACAUGUACAAUGGAACAACAAGGGAUAAACGAAAUCACACACACCACCUACAUUUAAUUUCUGAACAACGGGAAUUCUCCAAGGGCUACAUUUUAAACUGAAUAUGCUUAUUAUAAAUAAAAGGUAUAUAAACUACAAAUCAAGUCAGAGAUUUUAACACAGUAAUCAUGCUUAUGUAUAUAUGAAAUGAAAAUACUGCAAUCAUACAUGGGAAUAACACCACAGACACACAUUUCCACCAAAAUUAUUGGGUUUACUGACCUAUGAAGCUAUUUACACAUGUCUGUUUGAAUCUUGAGUUCUUAACAACCCGUGGCUGCAAUUUCAAGAAAUCCUGAAGACUCAAGCUGACCUUCAAAAUUCAAUUCAGUUGAAAUUUAAUACUGACUAUCAAUAGGUUUAUAUUAUGUGUUAAAAUAAGAUUUUAAACUAGCUUUGAAAUAUAGUAAUACCUUUUUGAAGUUUCUUACACUGUUCCAUCUUUUAUCAGUCUUAAGCAAUGAAGUUAAGUUUAAAUAAACAUCAGUGUCUGAAAACAGCAGGAACAUCAACCAUAGAUUUUUACCUUUUUUUUUUCUCCCCAGAGAACUCAGUGAAGCAUAAAUACACAUAAACGUUCAUCAAGAAAACCAAUGUUCCUACUUAUUCAAUUUAUAUUCCUAUUUACAAAUGGCAAUGACUAUUAGCUAACAUUACAACAGCAUCUACUAUCCUUGCAAUUGCAAAGCUAUAAUUAGAGACAUUACUCCGUACUUGAGCAUUAAAAAAUGUGUAUUUUCUGGCAGUAAUUUUUCUUUUCAUUUAUUAGAAUAUAAGGAGGAAAUGAAAGCAGAUGGGUAAGGGUGCUUAAUGUUCACUUAACUAUAUGUUUACUUUUUUUUUUUUUUCAUCACAACUGAAAACCCUAAAAAUUGUCCUGAUUUUUGGUGAAAAAAAAAGAGACUCAUCCCUUUUUUUUUUUUUUUUUGACAUUUUGUUAUUUUUUAAGGGCUAAAGGACAGAUUCUGUGGAACAUCAAGAAAAUAUAAUGCCAUUUUAAAGGAUAAUGGAGAGACCACAUUUAAAUCAGUAUUUUUUUCAUGCAUUGGAAAAAAAAUUUAACCCUGUCAUUUGCUUUGUCACUAAUUCUUUUUAUACUAUAACAUUUAGCAUUUUAAUCAUUCAAGAAGCACUAGAAUCUCAUGCUAACACUGCCUUUGUGGGAAGAAUAAGCUGUAAUAGUAAACUGCCUUCUAACUCAUAUGUCCAGAAAAGAAUUGCAAGAUAUCUCUCUUCCCCCUCCCCUUCCCUUACUCUUCUUCCCUUCCCCCCUCCCUUCCCUUUCCCUAUCCCUUCCCUUCUCUUCACUACCCCAUUCCCUCUUCCCUCUUCCUCCGCCCCCCUUCUCCCUUUCCCCUUUUCCCUUCCCUUCCCCCUUCCUUUCCCUUCCCUUCCUCUCAUUUCCCAUCUUUUUCCCAUUCCCUACCCUUCCUCCUUCUUCUCCCCAGAGUUCUUUUCUUGUUUGUUAGGGUUAUAUGUCUCAGUAUUGGCCAAUACAUACCUUCCUAUAUUUCUUCACCAACACACAGCAUGAACGAUAACUAAGUGAAAGGAUGAUAUAGAAAUUUCAUGGUCACAGAAACACUUGGUCAUUGGCUCAAGAAGAACAGACUUACAGAGACAAAUGUUCAUUUCUUAUCAACCAACACUGAACCACACUAUAAGUACUGAGGAAGUGUCUUGGAUUUUUACAGGCGACUUGUGUAUUUCACAACCAUUUAAAAAAUGAUGGCAGAGACACUAGACAAAACUUGUUCAAGAACAAGUUCACCGCAAAUAUGUAUUCAUAUUUUAUCCAGACUGCUAUCAAAAAGUGCUUCACCAAGCAUAAAAAUGAAUUGCAUUUACCAACAAGAUUUUAUAGCAGUAGUACCUCAAAAAUUAACUUCUCCUGUCAAACAUCAGCACACUAACUACGGGAACACUUUUCGUCUUUUAAUAAAUUACAGGGUUCAUUACACUCAAGAGUACAGAUCAAUUAUUAAAUCACGAGUGACAAUGUGAGUCAUCAGAAAUGCUAUGAGCUCUCACUCUAACAUGUCAAAGAAGCCAUAAAACUCAUGUCAUUUGUAUCAGACACCACAUGUUGCAAAGGAGCUUGCAGAAUACAAAAUACAUAACAUACGUGUACACUCAAUUAUUAGGAACUAAUUUGUGUGCAAAAUGAGUAACUGUAAAAAUAUUCCUAUUUAUUGAUCGAUUUUUUUUCCACUAUUAAGCUGACUACCUCCCUACAGAUUUCAGUGUUAAAUGUAUCAUAAGUUAAUAAAGCUUAUUGCAGUUUUUACAGUAUUAUCAGAAUACGAAGACCCACAGUCAUCAACCAGGCCACUGCCACAGUGGCACAAAAAAAUGUCCCUGCCCAGCAAGGUCCUGCUCUGUUUACUUAUAAUUCAAGUAAGUAGGAAACAGGAGUAUAAAAAGAGUGGUAUAUAAUACAGUUAUUCUGUCAUUCUUUUUCACUCUUUUGCUAAGGUAGUAAUAAUUCCUGUAAUACAUUGAUAUACUUCAUUGCACUACCUUUGCUGACUUCAAGUUUGAAAGCACUGUAAAUGGUUUGCAGGAUUACACCAAUAAUCAUACAUUACAAUAGGCUCUUUCUUUAGUUAGAAGACUGAAAUAACAAUAAUCUUUCCAAGGAGCCAUUCUUGGGAGAUUUCCAGCCUGACGUCGCAGACAACUAUAGUUCAUGCAGCUCAAAAAAGUCUUCAAGCCUUUUGAAGCCUAACUAAAACAUCAGAACCUUUUGGAUGUUCCAGUAUCCUGUAACUACAGCACAUGUACUAAAACUUAAUAACACAAAAAGUACUUGAAUUUAUUUGAUGCACAUGGGAUCUUCUUGAGACCCAUGCAAUACAGAUCAUAGGUUCUUGUGUAAAGAUAAUGCAAUAAACAGCUCAACAAUUCUUUAGAGUGGCUUUUGUGCUACUUGCAAGGAAUCUGUUCUUCUGUGUCCCUCUUGCACUAAAGUAAGAAAAUAAAAAAGGUUAUUUUCUUUAUCAUCUUCACGGUAUUAGAAAAUUCUCUUUCAAGGGCCACGUGAAGGAAGAAGCUGCAAUGUAUAGCCUGAGUUUAUUAAGAGAUUAGACUCUGAUGGAUGUCACCAUGAAAAAAUGUAAAGUAAAAGCAUCACAAAUGGUUUGCAAUGACUUUAGGAUAUCCAUUUAUUUUUAUUUUCACUUGAGAUUCCAUCUAAGAAAGUAGGACUUAUGUGAAUAUAUGACACACACAGGCUCAUACAAAAGCAAAUCUUGAAGCUUUUUUAAUACAGUGGUGGAUAGUAGCAUUGUUCAGCAAAGAUAUUUUCUGUCCCUUAAACAACUCUCCAGCAUACAAAUCAUUACUCAAAAACAUAAAAAAUAAAAAUAAAAAAAAGUUUCACUGCUACUCUGAGACACUAAUGGUAUUUGUGUAAUUAUUUAUAUCCUGCACAUCACCUGCAGUAUCAAAGCAUUACUUAUCUAGAAUUGCCUCCUAAAUUAAGGGUAAUGUUAUAUAUCUAUUGUCACAGCAUAAUUCUGACUGGGGACAAAAAAAGCAGAGCAAAGCUGUAGAUUGAUGGAUCUAUAGUCUUGAACAUACACAACACAUAUUGGAGAGAUGGCUAAGAAACACCAUGUGCUCUCCUGAGCACUCAGCAUGCAAUGAAAGAUGCUUUUGAUGGAGUUUUAGCCUUAAACCACAUCAGCAAGACUAUUUUAUACAUUUAAGUGUAGCCAGGGCAAACAGGAUGUGAAGUCAGCCUUCAACAUCAUAGACAUAUCAAAGAAAGAGGCAGCACUCAAAAGCUUCUUUGAAUGAGGCAACUCAUUUUACAGUUAGUUAAUCUAAAUUAUUAUGAUCAGUUAGCUGAGACCCAGUUUUUUUUCCAUAGAGUACAAAGUGCGUCACAUUUCAACUAUACAAAUGUAUAUACAUUUGUGUAAGAAAAAUGUAAGAGUUUCGUGCAUAUAUCUUUCCUAAACCUAGCUACAAGCAGGUAGGUAUUCCCAGAAAGAUCAUAAAGCUUGGGAUAUACCUUAAGAAAUGCCUUUUUCACAUUUCCCGUCACUUUCCAGAUAUAAAACAAAACAAAACAAACAAAUAACAAACAACAUCUGCCGUAAAAAACAAAUUGGGUUGGGGAAAGGAUUCUUUAAAAUAUGCUCUUUUUUUAACGUGCAGUGAUUAUGUAGUAGGAAAAUUUGUCAUGAAUGUUCUCAUCUAGCAAAGAAAAGUCUCUUUCACUUGGUUUCAGCAUUCCUCUCCUCACAAAUACAGUGACAUUCUAAAUCAAGUAAUGCUUAACGACUUCUUCCCAAACUGACUAAAACUAAUUAUGCAUUCAUAAUUUUCAGAAAGAAAAUCAGUGUUUUCAGUGAAAUUUCUGUUUUGAUAGUUAAAAAUCGUGUCAUCUCACCAUACUUUCUCCAACAAUAAAAUUUUCCUUGAGCAGGUGUCAACAUCAUCUCAAUAUUUUAGCAACAGUUAAGAAACACUUUUCAGUGGAUAAGGGAUCAGAAAAGUAAUCAAAUACAAAAAAGUAAGGCUAUGCACUAUGCAUAAACUUUUGAGACAUGCAGUGCUGUACAAAGUAUAUCAGUUCACAGUUCAAGAUGAAAACUUAAAUAAAUAGCAACCGAACAAGUAGUUUGCUGUACAUAAGAGAGUUCUUUGUGCUAUUUUGUGGGGAAAAAGAAAAAAAACAACCUCUUUUUUUUUGAGCCCGAGACAGCCAGUCAAGUAACACAGACUUUCAAGUAACAUCUAACCAGGAUACCUGACCCAGUAACAUUGCAUGAAAAAAAAAACUCCCUGUGGCCAACACCUAGAAAGCAAAAAUACAUGAGGAUUACAUCAAAAGGAACUGACCUAUUUUUUUUCCCCUCUACAUAAGCUUAUUCCCUUUAGAAAUUAGCAAAAUACUACCCUAUUCAAAAUUAGUAAUCAGCAGCUGCAAGUCAUCAAGAUUUCUCCAGUGACUCCCCCUUAGAUGGCUUAUUCUUUGAAGGGAAAUCCAAUUUCAAUCACACAUUAAACAGUUCCUCAUGACCCCAUUGGGCAUUUUUGAAGAGCUUCCCCUGCUAUCAUCAUGAGAGGUGUGGACUUCAAAAUCCUGAUGGAAUUAAACCCAAAUUCUGAAUCGCUUCUUCAAGCAGUUGUCUAUAUACAACGAAGGAUUAACAUUGUUUUACCACAUCUCUGUGGCUGGGAGGCCGGUGUGCCUCAUCCACACAGCACUCACAGUCCCGCCAGCACACCACAGCCACCCAUACACAGCUGCCUCAGUGGAAAUAUUUGAGCAGGCAUGGGCAAGCAUGAGGCAAGGACUCAGAUGGUACGCCGAGCUUGGAGGGCGAUGGGCAGCCUGCUGGGGAUUGCUAGGCAACCCAGGCCUGCUACUGACCCCAGCGCCUUCGCCACAGUUGGGGCUUUUGAGGGAGAAAGGACCUUUCAGCAGUCUGUGCAGAGCCCUGUAAAUGUAAAGCCCUGUUACUGUAAAUAAGGGAUAAUAACAGGGUCACCCUAUGUUCAGAACACUCAGUGGAUAGCUAGAUGGGUUUAUUUAUUUAUUUAUUUGGUUUUAUUUUAAUGGAGCUGACAAAAUCUGGCAACAAUGCACUGUGUAAAAAGUGACAUUUUGACUCUAAGGGAGGAAUUAUUUGCAAUUUGUUUUGAACAGAAGCUUAGUUCAUGUCAGAUGUGAACCUCCAGACAAUCAUUAGUUUAAACUGCCUGCUAUGUGUUUAAAAAUUUCAGUCAAUUUAUAACUGAUCUGAAUUGCAAAUGAGAUGGUAAUAAGCCAUUAGGGAACAACAUAUCUCUUUUUCACACUCACAGCCCUCUGCUUUAAGGGGCUUCAACUGCUCUGAAAUAUGAAAAUACCAUUUUAGUCAUGCGCAGUAUCAACAAACAGGGAUAAUUUUGAGAUGCAGAAAUGGAGUUUCUUGGAGAAUCACUCGGAGAAGACUGGCAGCUGACACAGGAGCAAAGUAACAUGGAGCCUGAGCUGUGAAUAGCAGGCAGUAGUCAGCUGCCCGAAGAACAGAUAGCCUGAUUUGCUGAUGGCACUGUAGCGCCUGGUAUCUGACAAGCACUUGGUUACUUUGGUUGCUGACUACGGGAUCUGAGCUAUUUCUUAUCCUCUGUGAAACCACUUUUGUGAGUGAACAUAGGCUUUGCACUACCAAAAUAUCUCUGUAUAGUUACUCACAUUUCCUCAAUACUAACUACUGAUUCUCCUGUGUUCAAAGGAGUAACAAGAUGAAUUUUUUUGUCAUUCUUGUUCACAUGUAGGCAUCCUUUAAAUACAAUUAUAACCUGCACAACUAAACAUAGAGCAAAUGUAUUAUAGAUGAUAGCAUUAAGCAUCAUGGCUCUUGUCUCGAAUAUUUCUUCCCACUGAUUGUUAUCAUGAUUUAUAUCAUCAUAAAUCGCCUACUGAUUUAUCAUGUCUCAUGGAUGAAAAAACUAUCUUUACAUACCCCUACUGCUACUUUAUAGCUAUAUAGCUACUCUUAAGUACCUGCUAUUAUUUGUUGAGGUUGAUUGUUUUUUUUUUUUCACUGACUAAUAAAAUUAGUAUCCCUUAUAAAAUUAAUUUAUUUCAUUGUUUCUCAAGUCUGCAACUGAGUCUAACUGUAUGCCUGACUGUACUAGAUGACAAGAAAUAUAAUCUCUACAUUCAAAUAGAUUCACAUACAGCUAUGAAGGAGGGAGAAAUUCAGAUUUCUAAUGUGCAUCUGUGGAAGUGAGCACUGAGGACCACAGUACCAGUGUCAUUGAUAUUCCCACACCAUUGGAUACUCUUGCAACCUUAGAGGUGAGUUAAUGAGGCUCUGGAACACAUUCCUCCCUGAAGCUAUAUGUAUAAAUACAGCUCCUGGAGGUUUUGUUUCUAGACAGUCUCUUUGUUGAGGGGAGACUAGCCCAGAGAUGCCUACAGCAGCCUGUAUAACUAUAACCACUUUGCAGUCUUCCCCACAGGAGGUCCAACAAACCAAAAUGCUGUUGUGUUAGCAUAUAUGCUGGACUGGAUUUCUGCAGAACGCUCCUUCCUUCUUAAGAGAGCAUUAAAGUGGAUAUUCCAUCAAUUCUUUCACGGCACAUCCACUCAAUCCCCUCUGCUUUUCAGAGAUAGCACCAUAAAAUUGCUGAUUGCAGGUGAACGUAAGUAUUACACCACAUCUCAGCUUUUCUAGGGAGUUCACAACAGCUCCUGUACAGCUGGCAAUAUGCUAGAAAGAGGAUUGCUUGCUCAGUACUGUUAUUGACCCGCUGUACAGCAGAAAGGAAAUAGGCAAGGUCAAAUAGGUCAAAGGUAGAAUGUUGAGGCAGAAACUUGCCUUGCUUAAGAAAGGUAGAAGUAACAUGGAGAAAACGACUUGGGUAAAACCAUGGGAUUAGAUGACUGUUACAGGAACUUGAUUAACUACUAGGACUGAAAAAUAAAUCCUCUAUCUGUAUCUCUCUGCCUCAAACAGCACAAAUCUAAAACAAGUGUAACAAGGACUGAUUCUACUGAGAUGGCUUUCAUCAAACCCUAAACUAUGGUGUACUUAUGCAUAUAAAAACAUAAAUGGAUAUAUGAUUCCAUUUUAACACUAACAAGAAUUUCUACUGUAUAAAUAUUAAAACCAAAGGAAAAAUAUAUUUUCAAUAUUCUAAUUUUCGUAUUAAAAAUCUGUAGUAACAUGAAUAAACCCCAGACAGGGAAAAUCUGAGUUUUUGUUUUGUAUUACUUCAAGAACAGAUGCACUUAAAACUACUCAAGCAUAGAAACUUCACAGAUAAUUCUCAACCACUGAAAGUAAAGAAUUCCAAAUUCCCAAUUUCCCGGGAGCACAACAGAUCAUUCAUCUCCGUCAAAUCCCCAUGAAGUAAAUUAAUCCUUUCCAAUUAUCCUUGCAAUGCAUAUUUGGGAUAACAGUUCUCUACUUUGAAAUGUACAUGACGUGUGGAGCUUCCACUCAUUUUAGUGAGAUAAAAAGCACAUUUCCAAUUUGGAUCUUUGAAAAAGUCUGACAUUCAGUAUUUAUUAUAAUAACAGAGAUUAAGAACAGUCCUACUGAACACUAAUAUUUAAAGACAUAUUUCUUUCAGAAGUGAUAUUACAACACAGGACAAUGAACACACUCCCAGAAGUACAUACUUCAAGCAAAAAAUAUUUCCUGUGAUAAAUACAGAAUUAAAAAAGGUAUUACAUGUUAAUUCAGAUGGAAAUGGAGUAGUUACAUACUUUCAAAUCUAAACUCCAGCUAUUUACAAUUUCCCCAGCAAUUGCACAACAAUAAGAAAUCUGCAUUCAAGGUUUUCUGUCAUCACAUUGGGUUUGAGAAAAACAGCACACACACACAAAAAAAAGAUCAGAAUCCAUCAAAAUUUUGUAAGAGAAAAAAUGUGGAAAUCCUUUGCUCUCUGCUUCUUUCUCAGUGACAUUAGGCUAUUUAGUAUUUUUGUCUCCAUAGAUCGGGUAUUCAAUAUUAAUUCCCUCAAUUAUUCUGGUAAAGUCAGUACAUGCCACAGUGCAUGCUUUAAAUGUAUUUUAUUUUCCAUACAUCAUUUUCUUCAUCAGCAUAAAUGGGUUCUUGCAUGUACAACCUACCCCUUGCAUGUACACCUGAACAAUCUGGCAGUUCAAAUGCGUAUAUUAUGUAGGGAAAGUGUUGAAAUUUACAUAUCUGUUCCAUUUAAAUUUGAAAACUGACUUCCAUGGGGAAGGUUCUUAUCCUUAUUUGACAUGUGGCACAGGCCAAAGAUCUGCAGUUGUAUCUACUGAAAGGAAACCAACACAAACAGUGAGAGAGAAAGAUAUGAGCAAUUUGGGUGAUGUGAUUUCUUGGACUUUCAGUUGUGUGUGUGUGAUUGUCAUAUACUUUUGUGUCAGAUAUUUGGCUAUCUAAAUAUUUCACUUUUCACAUGACAUAGUCCUAAGAGCAUGUAGUAUAAAUCACUUAUGAGAAGAUAGUCAUGUGAAUGGCAUCUCACAGACAAACAAUAAUUUCUAAGUUCUAAUUGAACAUAAUCCAAACACAGAAUAAUAUUUUGUUUGGUUAAAGAAGAAUUCUACAGGAAUCAAAGGCUUAGCCCUACAUUCCUUCCUUAUGUCAAUAUUCCUAUUGAAUUCAAUGGGGUGCUUUAUGUAUAUUGCUUGCUCUGAAAGUAAUUCCUCCUACUUAUUUCCAUGGAAACUACAAUGGAUACAAAGAGCACAAUAACACUAUUUGACAGAGCAGAUUCUCGGCUACAAAACACUAUUUUUCAACAUAAUCACCACCAUGAGAUAUGCAUUUUUACUGUGAUGAACAAGAAAUUACAUGCCAUAGUCAUAAAAAUCUGCACCAGCAUAGGUGACCCACCGUUUCUGUUGCUACUGUUGAAAUGCACUACCCACCACUGUGUUCAUACUCACUUCUUAGUCUCCCUAAACGUUCAGUAAGCACUGAUGAAUGUCAAUAGGUGAAAUUUUUCCACAUGGAGUAACGUAAAGCACACCUUUUCUUUAAACAUUAUUUCUAUAUGUCGUAGUUUUCAUGGAAACAAAUAGGAGGCAUUACUUCUAGAGCAAACUAUGUACAUGCUUCACUAUGGCUGGAUUUACUACCUACAUGAGGUUCAACACUGAGGUUGUUCUCCAUAUUGAUUAUCAAAUGAAACUGUAACCUAGGAUUAUCCACCUUUGUCUUGUGCAAAUUCUUUUGGCUAGUGGCAAUGAUAUUAGCAUGCCAUAGGAGAGCAGUCUAUAAAGUUGCCAGGAGGUACAGAAGAAAGAUAUUGCAGAGAUAACAUCUCGGGGAAAAAUAGGAGAAGAUAGGUCUUGGUGAUAUGCAAAUCAAGCCUUGAGAAACAGUCCACAGUGAAGGUCCCUGCAGGGAUCUUUUAAAUAGAAAUGAUUUUUAGUCAAUAUAGUCAGAGUUCAAAAUAAAAGAAUUUGGCCCUUGACUCUAAAUCUGGCUGAUUCAUUAUUAAUAGUUAUUUAAGAAGUUUUCUAACCAGUAGUUCAAAGUACAAACCUAUUGUAGAGAUAACAUCGUACAAUAAUAAUAUACAUUCAGUAUUUUAAAAAGGUUUUUCUAAACACAGAACAUGUAAAGAAAAGCACUAUAUACUGAGAUUCAUCCAAAUUCUUGCAAAGAGCAGAAUAUUCUUAUCCUAACAUGCCCAGAGGGAAAACAGAAAUUUUGGAGCAGAAGUCCAACCUCUUACAGCAUUGCUGUUCAGUUUUCAGUGAAUCCAACUGAAGCCCAUCCAAGUUGUCUUGUUGCUGAAUCCAUGCUAUGUUUGCUAUGUUAGACUGAACUUGUCAUCCUUCCCUUAGAGUUGGAGCUGAAUGUGGAGUUGCAAACAAGAGGUAAUACAUAAACAAACUUGAACUUGAGCAUAUGAAGCUUCGUACUAACAUGCAGAAGAACUUCUUUAUGGCAAAGGUGACACAGCAUUGGAACAGAGAUGUCCAGGGAGGUUGUGGAGGCUCCUUCUAUGGAGACAUUAGAGACCUGCCUGGAGAGCUACCUGUGAGACAUAUUGUAGGGUAUCUGCUUUAGCGGAGGCGUUGGACUUGAUGAUUGCUUGAGGGCCCUUCCAACACCAGUGAAUGUGAUUUUCUGUGAUUGUGUGAUUGAACAAGGCUGCAUAAGGUUUCCACAAAAGAAAGACAGAAAUGUCAAGGCAGUUGCUUCCUACAGCCACCACCCGGAGGCAGGAAUGUGGGAAUCUGCAUGCAGUGUCUCCUACAUGCAUAUCUACAAAAUUCAAUCCAGCCCUCCAUUUUCCAUUUUCUCAAAAUGUUUUUGUAUUCAUUCAAAGAGUGAGACAUGACAGAAUGCAUGUGGAUAUGAGAUAACAUGUGCCUCAGGGCUAGUAUCAGGAGGAAGGUGAAGGCAACAACCCCAGACAUGAAGGUGAAGACAGUGAUGCAAAAUGCAGUUCAUCUCACAGCCGCACAAACCUGGAAGCCUCAUUACUGUGAAUAUAAGUCUUGAAUGAUCAAAAAAAAAAAAAAAAGGAAAAACAUAAUUUCCCUGAUGACUGUGUAAUGUUCUAUCUUCACUGAUACAAAACAUAACACAAAAGAAGUAAAUAAAAAAAUAUGAAAGAAAAUGCCUUUUAAGAUAUGUGGAUCAUUAAAUUUGCAGAAAGGAACAGCUGCAUUCCUGGAUUGCAGUGUUAUCAAAUGACUGCUCAGAGGCAGAUUGCAGUGUGAAGCCAUAAUGCCUCAGUGUAUGACAUUGUGGUCACAGAUGUCCUUUGCUUCAUACACCUUGCUGAAGUGGUUUGCAGGUGGGAUUUGCUUUCAGCUGAUUUUUAUUUUCAUUCUCUUUCAUUAAUGCACAAUACUAAACUGACUUCUUGUUUGCCUAAUGUGUCAAAGCUUCCGACUUCUCACAUGCACACAGCUUUCCCCUCAAUGUCAUGACAGUAUUUAAGAAACAUGGGAUUGACCCAGAAAAAAGAGCUUUUGGGAAUAAACCAGAUAUUUGUGUUUUUGAAAGUACUUCUGCUUCAGAGUGAAGUAUCAAGUCGUACUGGGACUAGUUCCUGUGGUGGAUUUUAACACUUCAUUGAUCGAUAGACAGAUCAGUCCUAACAGGUUGGUAUUUACAAGGUUUUGUUUUGUUGUGUUUUGUUUUUAUUUAAUUGUUUAGCAAAAUACAAGCUUGUACAAAAGAUGAAAAUCCAUUUUUACAAAGACUGAGAGCUCAACAGCAUUGGCCAUUCUGUAGCUAGGCUAUGUCUGAUAAAUAGAAUAUACCUAAGAAAAGGGGUAUGUGAUUUGAAAUAUUAAGGAGUGUUUCCAGGGUAAUAGUUCUAAGGACAAGAUAUCCAGUGGAGAAAGAUUAUAUCUGGCUAUCUAUCUAUGUGUCUCAUAGGACUGCAGUAUAUACUACUUCUAGAUACCAGGGCUUAUCUCAUCUUUAAUAUCCUACUUUCAAGAAGAUUAAGAUUCAUCCACACAGCAGUACUACAAAGGGUGACCAGUCUUCCAAAUUUGAGGAGGUAGAUGUUGAUACUGUAAAGCAACGUGGAGCAGCUGGAGCUGGUGUAAGCAGUGCCAAGAGGAAUGGACUUUAGCAGGCAAUCAGGCAAGCAGAAAGUAGCAGCAGGCCACAUCAUGUCCUGUUGAAAAUGAUGGAGAAAUGUCAGGAAUUCAGGGGUAGUUAAUGGAGCAUGCAUUACCAGAAGACUGUGGGGAUGGAUAUGCAUACUAAGGGUUAAUCUUGAACACAGCUGUAUACUGUGCUGGCAUAUAAGCUUAACAUACUUAAUCAGGUGAUUUAUGCAAUGUAGAAUAGAGAAGCAUAAAUGUCUAUCUUCUGGUACCUAAGUCCAUUAACAUUAGAAUUAGACGUCAUCUAUAUCCAGUAUGCAUUAUUUUACUUAUGAUUAUAUAUUUAUUCCUUUAUCAGAUUUUUGUUUAAAUGAGCUUCAAUGAACACAAAAGACCUGAAUAAUUUGAUGUGCAAUAAAUGUGUCCUCAUAGCAUUAUUAUUCCUUAAAUAGAGGAAAGAAUAUGUCUAGAUUAGCUCAAAUGACAAUUCCCUAUCUUACAUUAGGUUCCCUAAGUUACAGUGGAAAACAUUCAUGCAAUCCCAAAUGAAAGAGUUCAAAAAAAUGACAGAAGGUAUAGUUAAUUAGUUGACUGGAUUAUUCAAUCCUUGCAUAAAGGCAUGAGCUCAGCUUUAGUGAAGAAGUAAGAACUGACAGAAGUUAAUGCCUUCUUUAAACAUCUUAGACUCUUGUCAAAAUUAUAAUUGCAAUGAUUUCCUGUAUUUGGUAUAACAGAGGGCUGAUCUUUUUUUACCUGCUAGGAGUUUUCCUGUUAGAAAAGGGAACUGAAUAAAUCGAAUAAAACACAAGGGUAUCACAUGCAUUAGUACCUAUUGUGUUACGUACUGUACGAAACACCUUGAAAAAACAAUGUUCCUUAUGUUAAAGGCACUUUUAGUAUGAGAGGGACAAAAAUGACAAACAGAAAAAGACAGACAGAUGGAAGAACAAGAAAACAGUGACACAGUUGGUCAUCCUGACAGGCAGCAUUGCCAGUACAUCCCUAGCAUGACAGCUGUCAAAAUUUUGUUUAAAUUCACAGUAAAAGAAAGUUUUACAGAGGCAGCUAAGGAAAAUCUCCUACAAAAACAGUGAAGUGAAGCAAGCUAAAAAUCAAAAAUAUGUAAGACAAAUCAGAAUGAGGGUUUUUUUUUUUUUCCCCCUCUGAUACACUUUCCUUCUGAGGGAAUAAAAAAUAAAAAAGAAAAUGGUUUAUUUUCCAGAUGUCUAGAUCCAUACCCCAGUAUGAUAAACUUUCUUUUCAUUCACUGAUGUUCUGCAUUCAUUGUCCUAAUCCAACUGAAGAAACCCUUAUCUUUACUUGAAAUUCCCCUAUCUCCUAGAAAAUUGAUGUGUAAUGCUUAUAAGAAAAAAGCUGCUUUUCCUCUGAACACGUUUCCCACCUUCAGACACACCAGACAUUUUCAGAGUGUCAAGUAUGUAGGAAACAUGGCUUUGUUCACAUGAUAGGAAGGCCCUACAGAGUGAUUUGGACAGGCUGAAUAACUGGGCUGGGACCAAUGGGAUGAAGUUCAAGAAGACCAAGUGCCAAGUUCUGCCUUUGGCCACAGCAAUCUCAGGCAACACUGCAGGCUUGAGGCAGAAUGGCUAGAAGACUCUGUAGAAGAAAUGGAUCUGGAAGAUUUGGUUGACACUUGGCUGAACAUGAUCCAGCAG
ensembl:lncRNA